AUUGAACGCUGGCGGCAUGCCUUACACAUGCAAGUCGAACGGUAACGCGGGGCAACCUGGCGACGAGUGGCGAACGGGUGAGUAAAGCAUCGGAACGUGCCCAGUUGUGGGGGAUAACUGCUCGAAAGAGCAGCUAAUACCGCAUACGACCUGAGGGAGAAAGCGGGGGAUCGCAAGACCUCGCGCAAUUGGAGCGGCCGAUGUCGGAUUAGCUAGUUGGUGGGGUAAAGGCCCACCAAGGCAACGAUCCGUAGCUGGUCUGAGAGGACGACCAGCCACACUGGGACUGAGACACGGCCCAGACUCCUACGGGAGGCAGCAGUGGGGAAUUGUGGACAAUGGACGCAAGUCUGAUCCAGCCAUGCCGCGUGUGGGAAGAAGGCCUUCGGGUUGUAAACCACUUUUGUCAGGGAAGAAAUCUUCUGGGUUAAUACCUCGGGAGGAUGACGGUACCUGAAGAAUAAGCACCGGCUAACUACGUGCCAGCCGCCGCAGUAAAAC
rnacentral:rRNA from 1 species